ACGCUGGCGGCAGGCCUAACACAUGCAAGUCGAGCGGUAGCACGGGAGAGCUUGCUCUCUGGGUGACGAGCGGCGGACGGGUGAGUAAUGUCUGGGAAACUGCCUGAUGGAGGGGGAUAACUACUGGAAACGGUAGCUAAUACCGCAUGACCUCGCAAGAGCAAAGUGGGGGACCUUCGGGCCUCACGCCAUCGGAUGUGCCCAGAUGGGAUUAGCUAGUAGGUGGGGUAAUGGCUCACCUAGGCGACGAUCCCUAGCUGGUCUGAGAGGAUGACCAGCCACACUGGAACUGAGACACGGUCCAGACUCCUACGGGAGGCAGCAGUGGGGAAUAUUGCACAAUGGGCGCAAGCCUGAUGCAGCCAUGCCGCGUGUGUGAAGAAGGCCUUAGGGUUGUAAAGCACUUUCAGCGAGGAGGAAGGCGCUGUAGUUAAUAGCUGCAGCGAUUGACGUUACUCGCAGAAGAAGCACCGGCUAACUCCGUGCCAGCAGCCGCGGUAAUACGGAGGGUGCAAGCGUUAAUCGGAAUUACUGGGCGUAAAGCGCACGCAGGCGGUUUGUUAAGUCAGAUGUGAAAUCCCCGAGCUUAACUUGGGAACUGCAUUUGAAACUGGCAAGCUAGAGUCUUGUAGAGGGGGGUAGAAUUCCAGGUGUAGCGGUGAAAUGCGUAGAGAUCUGGAGGAAUACCGGUGGCGAAGGCGGCCCCCUGGACAAAGACUGACGCUCAGGUGCGAAAGCGUGGGGAGCAAAC
rnacentral:rRNA from 1 species